rnacentral:rRNA from 1 species
CCUACGGGAUGCAGCAGUGGGGAAUAUUGGGCAAUGGGCGCAAGCCUGACCCAGCAACGCCGCGUGAAGGAAGAAGGCUUUCGGGUUGUAAACUUCUUUUCUCAGGGACGAGGCAAGGACCGGUACCUGAGAAAUAAGCCACGGCUAACUACGUGCAAGAAGCCGCGGUAAUACGUAGGUGGCAAGCGUUAUCCGGAUUUACUGGGUGUAAAGGGCGUGUAGGCGGGAAUACAAGUUAGAUGUGAAAACCACGGGCUCAACCUGUGGCCUGCAUUUGAAACUGUUGUUCUUGAGUGCUGGAGAGGCAGACGGAAUUCCUAGUGUAGCGGUGAAAUGCGUAGAUAUUAGGAAGAACACCAGUGGCGAAGGCGGUCUACUGGACAGUAACUGACGGUGGGGCGCGAAAGCGUGGGGAGCAAACAGGAUUAGAUACCCUUGUAGUC